UACGUAGGGUGCAAGCGUUGUCCGGAAUUAUUGGGCGUAAAGAGCUCGUAGGCGGUCUGUCGCGUCGGAUGUGAAAAUCCAGGGCUCAACCCUGGAGGGUCAGCCGAUACUGGCAGGCUAGAGUACGGAAGAGGUAGCUGGAAUUCCCGGUGUAGCGGUGAAAUGCGUAGAUAUUGGGAGGAACACCAGUGGCGAAGGCGGCUCACUGGACUGGUACUGACGCUGAUGCGCGAAAGCGUGGGGAGCAAACAGG
rnacentral:rRNA from 1 species